GAUGAAGAACGUAGCGAAACGCGAUAAGUAAUGUGAAUUGCAGAAUUCAGUGAAUCAUCGAAUCUUUGAACGCACAUUGCGCCCCUUGGUAUUCCAUGGGGCAUGCCUGUUCGAGCGUCAUUUGUACCUUCAAGCUUUGCUUGGUGUUGGGUGUUUGUCUCGCCUUUGCGUGUAGACUCGCCUUAAAAUAAUUGGCAGCCGGCGUAUUGAUUUCGGAGCGCAGUACAUCUCGCGCUUUGCACUCAUAACGACAGCGUCCAAAAGUACAUUUUACACUCUUGACCUCGGAUCAGGUAGGGAUACCCGCUGAACUUAAGCAUAUCAAUAAGCGGAGG
rnacentral:misc_RNA from 1 species